rnacentral:rRNA from 1 species
AUUGAACGCUGGCGGCAUGCUUUACACAUGCAAGUCGGACGGCAGCACAGAGAAGCUUGCUUCUUGGGUGGCGAGUGGCGAACGGGUGAGUAAUAUAUCGGAACGUACCGAGUAAUGGGGGAUAACUAAUCGAAAGAUUAGCUAAUACCGCAUAUUCUCUGAGGAGGAAAGCAGGGGACCUUCGGGCCUUGCGUUAUUCGAGCGGCCGAUAUCUGAUUAGCUAGUUGGUGGGGUAAAGGCCUACCAAGGCGACGAUCAGUAGCGGGUCUGAGAGGAUGAUCCGCCACACUGGGACUGAGACACGGCCCAGACUCCUACGGGAGGCAGCAGUGGGGAAUUUUGGACAAUGGGCGCAAGCCUGAUCCAGCCAUGCCGCGUGUCUGAAGAAGGCCUUCGGGUUGUAAAGGACUUUUGUCAGGGAAGAAAAGGCUGUUGCUAAUAUCGACAGCUGAUGACGGUACCUGAAGAAUAAGCACCGGCUAACUACGUGCCAGCAGCCGCGGUAAUACGUAGGGUGCGAGCGUUAAUCGGAAUUACUGGGCGUAAAGCGAGCGCAGACGGUUACUUAAGCAGGAUGUGAAAUCCCCGGGCUCAACCUGGGAACUGCGUUCUGAACUGGGUGACUAGAGUGUGUCAGAGGGAGGUAGAAUUCCACGUGUAGCAGUGAAAUGCGCAGAGAUGUGGAGGAAUACCGAUGGCGAAGGCAGCCUCCUGGGAUAACACUGACGUUCAUGCUCGAAAGCGUGGGUAGCAAACAGG